rnacentral:SRP_RNA from 1 species
GCUGGGUGUGGUGGCGCGUGCCUGUAGUCCCAGCUUCUCAGGAGGCUGAGGUGGGAGGAUUGCUUGAGCCCAGGAGUUCUGGGCUGUAGUGCGCUAUGCCGAUCGGGUGUCCGCACUAAGUUCGGCAUCAAUAUGGUGACCUCCUGGGAGCGAGGGACCACCAGGUUGCCUAAGGAGAGGUGAACUGUCCCAGGUCGGAAAUGGGGCAGUUCAAAACUCCCGUGCUGAUAAGCAGUGGGAUCGUGCCUGUGAACAGCCGCUGCACUCCAGCCUAAGCAACAUAGCGAGACACCAUCUCU